GAUGAACGCUAGCUACAGGCUUAACACAUGCAAGUCGAGGGGAAACGAUAUUGGAAGCUUGCUUCUGAUAGGCGUCGACCGGCGCACGGGUGAGUAACGCGUAUCCAACCUGCCCAUCACUUGGGGAUAACCUUGCGAAAGUAAGACUAAUACCCAAUGACGUCUCUAGAAGACAUCUGAAGGAGAUUAAAGAUUUAUCGGUGAUGGAUGGGGAUGCGUCUGAUUAGCUUGUUGGCGGGGUAACGGCCCACCAAGGCGACGAUCAGUAGGGGUUCUGAGAGGAAGGUCCCCCACGUUGGAACUGAGACACGGUCCAAACUCCUACGGGAGGCAGCAGUGAGGAAUAUUGGUCAAUGGGCGAGAGCCUGAACCAGCCAAGUAGCGUGCAGGAAGACGGCCCUAUGGGUUGUAAACUGCUUUUAUAAGGGAAUAAAGUGGGAGUCGUGACUCCUUUUGCAUGUACCUUAUGAAUAAGGACCGGCUAAUUCCGUGCCAGCCGCCGCAGUAA
rnacentral:rRNA from 1 species